rnacentral:rRNA from 1 species
CGGUUCUAUGCUGGAUCUGCACAUUCGCCCUUAGAGUUUGAUCCUGGCUCAGAAUCAACGCUGGCGGCGUGCUUAACACAUGCAAGUCGAACGAGAAAGUGGAGCAAUCCAUGAGUAAAGGGGCGCACGGGUGAGUAACACGUGACUAACCUACCCUGGAGUGGGGGAUAACUGAGGGAAACCUUUUCUUAUACCGCAUAAUACCCACGGGUCAAAGGAGCAAUUCUCUUCAGGAGGGGGUCGCGGCCGAUUAGUUAGUUGGCGGGGUAAUGGCCCACCAAGACUGUGAUCGGUAUCCGGCCUGAGAGGGCGCACGGACACACUGGAACUGAAACACGGUCCAGACUCCUACGGGAGGCAGCAGUGGGGAAUUUUGCGCAAUGGGGGAAACCCUGACGCAGCAACGCCCCGUGGAGGAUGAAGUCCUUCGGGACGUAAACUCCUUUCGAUCGGGACGAUAAUGACGGUACCGGAAGAAGAAGCCCCGGCUAACUUCGUGCCAGCCGCCGCGGUAAUACGAGGGGGGCGAGCGUUGUUCGGAAUUAUUGGGCGUAGAGGGUGCGUAGGCGGUUUUGUAAGUCUUAUGUGAAAUCUAUGGGCUCAACUCAUAGACUGCAUGAGAAACUGCAGGGCUUGAGUGUGGGAGAGGUGAGUCGAAUUUCCGGUGUAGCGGUGUAAUGCGUAGAUAUCGGAAGGAACACCUGUGGCGAAAGCGGCUCACUGGACCACAACUGACGCUGAUGCACCAAGCUAGGGGAGCAAACAGGAUUAGACACCCUGGCAGUCUCGCCCUAAACGAUGACUGCUUGUGUGACGGGUACCCAAUCCCGCCGUGACUUCAGCUACGCGUUCAACAGUCAGCUGUGGAGUACGUUCUGCAAGGCUGAACUCGACGGCAAUGAUGGGGCCAGACUAAGCGAUGCAGCUGCGAUCUAUUCGACGCAAUAGUUAGAAACUAUACUUGGCCCGUA